rnacentral:siRNA from 1 species
UACGACUUCAGACUGUCUUGAAAU